rnacentral:rRNA from 1 species
UCAAUAUAAAUUGAUUAAGAUUUAUUUAUUUAUUUUAUUUUGUUUAUUUUAAGAUAUUAAAAAUAAUUAUAUGAAUUAUAGUUUUAGUAGUUUUUAACGAAUAAAUAAUUUUUAUGAUAGUGAAUUAGUAACGUGAGUGAAAAUUGAAAUAUUUUGAAAAAUUUUUAUUAUAUAAGAAGACUUUAUUUGUCGCACCUUGUGUAUCAGGGUUUAUUAAUUAAUUAAUAAUUAUCUAUUAUUCUCGAUUUUAUAAGAGUUAAUAAACUAUAAAAGUUAAUGUGUCAAAAUUAUUUUUAAUAGUUUAUUAGAAAUGAAAUGUUAUUCGUUUAUAAAGGUAUCUAGUUUUUCUAGAAAUAAAUUUAAUUUACAGUAUUUAAAUAUAUUAUUUAUUUAGAUAGGUGAUAUAUUUUUUAUACUGAAUUUUUUAGGGGAUAAGCUCUAAAGAAAAAGUUUAAAAAUAUUAAAGGUUUAAUUGAAAUGUAUGUAUAGAAUUUGCAAUCAUUUAUAAGUUUGUUAUAAAUUAUUUAUUUUCGACUAUUAUUUAAUUUGUUUUAAAUUUUUUAUAGAAAUAUUUACUUUAAUUUUAUAAGUUAAGUAAUAACGAUAAAAUUAGUAUAUGUAUUCUAUCAAUAAAUUUAUUUGAUAAGUUUAUAUAAAGAACUCGGCAAAUAUAUAAUGCCCGCCUGUUUAACAAAAACAUGUCUUUUUGAGAUUUAAUUUAAAGUCUAGCCUGCCCAAUGAAUUAUUUUGAAUGGCCGCAGUAUACUAACUGUGCAAAGGUAGCAUAAUCAUUAGUCUUUUAAUUGAAGCUGGUAUGAAUGGUUGGACGAGGUAUAAGCUGUUUCAUAUGAAUUUAUGAUAGAAUUUUAUUUUUCAGUCAAAGAGCUGAAAUUUAUUUAAAAGACGAGAAGACCCUAUAAAUCUUUAUAUUUAAUAGUAUUUAAGUUUUUUAGAUUUAUUUUAUUUUUAUAUUAUUAACUAUUUUAUUGGGGUGAUAUUAAAAUUUAAUGAACUUUUAAUUUGUUAAAACAUUAAUUUAUGAGUAAUUGAUCCAUUAGUAGUGAUUAGAAGAUUAAGUUACUUUANGGAUAACAGCGUAAUUUUCUUGGAGAGUUCAUAUCGAUAAGAAAGAUUGCGACCUCGAUGUUGGAUUAAGAUAUAAUUUUAGGUGUAGCCGCUUAAAUUUUGAGUCUGUUCGACUCU